GGAGAGAGAUGUGCUCCACCAAGUUUAUCGCGAAGGGCCGAGACAUACCAUAUAUCACGGCGAAAAUCGUACGACUCCAUCAAAAGGAUCCAAGGAAGGAUAUUACGUUAUGUAAUGAACGCCCUGGAAGUGGUAUAAUUUGAUGGAAAUCUACCAAUGACUGAGAAUCAAAUAGAUAUUCGUUCAGAAUAUAGAUUGUUGUUCCUCAAACGUUUGAAACGCCGGGAAAGAUACUAACAUUCCCACAGUUAAGAAAUGCAAGAUGAGAAGCGGUGAGAAUAACAGUAAGAAAGUCGAUCUGUGACAGAGUAACGCAUUUUUAAUUAAAAAAAUAUGAACUAGCAAAAAAAUAAAUAAACAUCACCUGUGCUCCUAGAGGCGUUGCUGCUCUGCUGAAGAUGGCCAAAUAGAGGACCACAAUUUGUCUGGACUGCACGAAGACACAGUAUUGUUUAGUUAAAUAUUGACUUC